rnacentral:rRNA from 1 species
GACGAACGCUGGCGGCGUGCUUAACACAUGCAAGUCGAACGGAAAGGCCCUGCUUUUGUGGGGUGCUCGAGUGGCGAACGGGUGAGUAACACGUGAGUAACCUGCCCUUGACUUUGGGAUAACUUCAGGAAACUGGGGCUAAUACCGGAUAGGAGCUCCUGCUGCAUGGUGGGGGUUGGAAAGUUUCGGCGGUUGGGGAUGGACUCGCGGCUUAUCAGCUUGUUGGUGGGGUAGUGGCUUACCAAGGCUUUGACGGGUAGCCGGCCUGAGAGGGUGACCGGCCACAUUGGGACUGAGAUACGGCCCAGACUCCUAUGGGAGGCAGCAGUGGGGAAUAUUGCACAAUGGGCGGACGCCUGAUGCAGCAACGCCGCGUGCGGGAUGACGGCCUUCGGGUUGUAAACCGCUUUCGCCUGUGACGAAGCGUGAGUGACGGUAAUGGGUAAAGAAGCACCGGCUAACUACGUG